rnacentral:rRNA from 1 species
AUUGAACGCUGGCGGCAGGCCUAACACAUGCAAGUCGAACGAGUGGCGGACGGGUGAGUAAUGUCUGGGAAACUGCCUGAUGGAGGGGGAUAACUACUGGAACCGGUAGCUAAUACCGCAUACCAUCAGAUGUGCCCAGAUGGGAUUAGCGUGUUGGUGGGGUAACGGCUCACCAAGGCGACGAUCCCUAGCUGGUCUGCGAGGAUGACAAGCCACACGGGAACUGCGCAACGGUCCAGCCUCCUACGGGAGGCAGCAGUGGGGAAUAUUGCACAAUGGGCGCAAGCCUGAUGAAGCCCUGCAGCGUGGAUGAAGAAGUCCUUCGGGUUGUAAAGUACUUUCAGCGGGGAGGCGUUACCCGCAGAGGAAGCACCGGCUAACGCCGUGCCAGCAGCCGCGGUAAUAC